GACGAACGCUGGCGGCGUGCUUAACACAUGCAAGUCGAACGGAAAGGCCCUGCUUUUGUGGGGUGCUCGAGUGGCGAACGGGUGAGUAACACGCGAGUAACCUGCCCUUGACUUUGGGAUAACUUCAGGAAACUGGGGCUAAUACCGGAUAGGAGCUCCUGCUGCAUGGUGGGGGUUGGAAAGUUUCGGCGGUUGGGGGUGGACUCGCGGCUUAUCAGCUUGUUGGUGGGGUAGUGGCUUACCAAGGCUUUGACGGGUAGCCGGCCUGAGAGGGUGACCGGCCACAUUGGGACUGAGAUACGGCCCAGACUCCUACGGGAGGCAGCAGUGGGGAAUAUUGCACAAUGGGCGGAAGCCUGAUGCAGCAACGCCGCGUGCGGGAUGACGGCCUUCGGGUUGUAAACCGCUUUCGCCUGUGACGAAGCGUGAGUGACGGUAAUGGGUAAAGAAGCACCGGCUAACUACGUGCCAGCAGCCGCGGUGAUACGUAGGGUGCGAGCGUUGUCCGGAUUUAUUGGGCGUAAAGGGCUCGUAGGUGGUUGAUCGCGUCGGAAGUGUAAUCUUGGGGCUUAACCCUGAGCGUGCUUUCGAUACGGGUUGACUUGAGGAAGGUAGGGGAGAAUGGAAUUCCUGGUGGAGCGGUGGAAUGCGCAGAUAUCAGGAGGAACACCAGUGGCGAAGGCGGUUCUCUGGGCCUUUCCUGACGCUGAGGAGCGAAAGCGUGGGGAGCGAACAGGCUUAGAUACCCUGGUAGUCCACGCUGUAAACGGUGGGUACUAGGUGUGGGGUCCAUUCCACGGGUUCCGUGCCGUAGCUAACGCUUUAAGUACCCCGCCUGGGGAGUACGGCCGCAAGGCUAAAACUCAAAGGAAUUGACGGGGCCCCGCACAAGCGGCGGAGCAUGCGGAUUAAUUCGAUGCAACGCGUAGAACCUUACCUGGGUUUGACAUGGAUCGGGAGCGCUCAGAGAUGGGUGUGCCUCUUUUGGGGUCGGUUCACAGGUGGUGCAUGGCUGUCGUCAGCUCGUGUCGUGAGAUGUUGGGUUAAGUCCCGCAACGAGCGCAACCCUUGUUCACUGUUGCCAGCACGUUAUGGUGGGGACUCAGUGGAGACCGCCGGGGUCAACUCGGAGGAAGGUGGGGAUGACGUCAAGUCAUCAUGCCCCUUAUGUCCAGGGCUUCACGCAUGCUACAAUGGCUGGUACAGAGAGUGGCGAGCCUGUGAGGGUGAGCGAAUCUCGGAAAGCCGGUCUCAGUUCGGAUUGGGGUCUGCAACUCGACCUCAUGAAGUCGGAGUCGCUAGUAAUCGCAGAUCAGCAACGCUGCGGUGAAUACGUUCCCGGG
rnacentral:rRNA from 1 species